AAGGCACUUUGGCACCCAGUUUUGGAACUGCAGUUUUAAAAGUCAUAAAUUGAAUGAAAACGAUAGCAAAGGUGGAGGUUUUUAAAGAGCUAUUUAUAGGUCCCUGGACAGCAUCUUUUUUCAAUUAGGCAGCCACCUUUUUGCCCUAUGCCAUAACCUGUGUCUGUAACUUCCUCUAAUUGGGGAAUAGUUAAGCAGAUUCAUAGAACUGAAUGAUAAAAUUGUAUUACGAGAUGCACUGGUCAUAUCAAUGUGACCUUAUCAAGUGAGCAGGCUUGGUGCAUUUGACACUUCAUGAAAUCAGCCAAAGUGGAACUAAGAACAGCUCCUGAAAGAAGACUAUGACAUCAUCAGGUUGGGAGUCUCCAGGGACAGCGGACCCUUUGGAAAAGGACUGGGAAGUGCGAAAUCUAUCAGUCUUCGAAAUGAAAUUCUCUAGCUCCAUAAAUGCAUUGCAUAUUUACAAGACACUAGGCCUACUCCUAGGGCAGCAAAAUGUGGCAGCAGGCAAGCAGAGGGAAAAAAGAUCAUGAGGCAUUUCAGAGUGCACUGUCUUUUCAUACAUUUCUCAAUGCCGUAUGCUUGCUUUUAUUUUGGCCAAGCAUAACAAUCUGCUCAAAAAAAAAAAAAAAAAAAAAAAAAAAAAAAAAAAAAUCUGGAGGAAACAAAGGUGCCUUUGCCAAUAUUAUGUUUCUUUUUGACAAGCCCUGAGAUUUCUGAGGGGAAUUCACAUAAAUGGGAUCAGGUCAUUCAUUUAUGUUGUGUGCAAUUAUAAUUUAAAGAUACAUCCUUUGCAGAGAGCAUGCUUUCCUAAGGGUAGGCACGUGCAGGACUAAGGGUAAAGCAUUCUUCAAGAUCAGUUAAUCAAGAAAGGUGCUCUUUGCAUUCUGAAAUGCCCUUGUUGCAAAUAUUGGUUAUAUUGUUUAAAUUUACACUUAAUGGAUACAACCUUUAACUUAUAGAUGAACAAACCUCACAAGAGCAAAAAAUCAAAAGCCCUACCUAUGAUUUCAUAUUUUCUGUGUAAUUGGACUAAAGGAUUCCUGCUUGCUUUUGGGCAUAAACAAUUAUGGAAUAUUUCCAAGUAUUAUUUAAAAUGAGGACUAAUCUACAAAUUCUUAGCAAUACUUCGGAUAAUUCUAAAAUUCAGUUGGACACUGUCUAAUUGUUUUUUAUAUACAUCUUUGCUAGAAUUUCAAAUUUUAAGUAUGUGAAUUUGGUUAAUUAGCUGUGCUGAUCAAUUCAAAAACAUUACUUUCCUAAAUUUUAGACUAUGAAGGUCUAAAUUCAACAAUAUAUGAAGGUCAUAUAUUCAACAAAUACACCUAACAUACAAUUAUAGAUUGUUUUUCAUUACAAUGUCUUCAUCUUAUCAGAAUUGUCUUUUUGAUUGUUUUUAGAAAACAGAGUUUUAAUUCGUAAUUACUCGAUAAUAAAAUUGUGGGAACAAUCCAGCAUUAAUUGUAUGUGGCCGUUUUUACGUACAUAAGGAGUCUUAAGCUUGGCCCCUUGAAAUCUUUUGUACUUAGUUCCAUGUCUAAAAUUACUACUUUAUAUCUAAAGCAUUUAUGUUUUUCUAUUCAAUUUAUAUGAUGCUAAUUAUGGCAAUUAUAACAAAUAUUAAAGAUUUUGAAAUAGAA